rnacentral:tRNA from 2 species
GCCGGGAUGGCGGAACUGGCAGACGCAGCGGACUCAAAAUCCGCCGAUCGCAAGGUCGUGGGGGUUCGACCCCCCCUCCCGGCACCA